rnacentral:lncRNA from 1 species
AGUGGCAUGACAUUUUUUAAGUGCUGAAAGCAAAGGAAUAUUAACCCACAACUCUAUAUUCAGGAAAAUAUGCAUGACAAAUGAAGGAGAAAUAAAGAUAUUCUCAGAAGAAGGAAAACUAAGAGAAUUCUUAACCAGCAGACCUCCUUGAGAAGAACUUCUAAACAUUUCUUCUAAACAGACAGAAGAUGGCCUAUGUCUGGUUCCUUCAACAGAAGAAGGAAGAAGAGGAAUUUGGGAAAUGAGAACAAGUGCUCAGAGAUUUCCAAAAAAUUAUUCCUGGAGGCCUGAAUCAGGAUUUUUUUUUUUUUAACUCAUGCCAG